rnacentral:rRNA from 1 species
UACGAAGGGGGCUAGCGUUGUUCGGAAUUACUGGGCGUAAAGCGCACGUAGGCGGGUAGUUAAGUCAGUGGUGAAAUCCCAAGGCUCAACCUUGGAACUGCCUCUGAUACUGGCUACCUUGAGUCCGGGAGAGGUGAGUGGAAUUCCGAGUGUAGAGGUGAAAUUCGUAGAUAUUCGGAGGAACACCAGUGGCGAAGGCGGCUCACUGGCCCGGUACUGACGCUGAGGUGCGAAAGCGUGGGGAGCAAACAGG